UUCAAAUUAAACUUGCUUCUGUACUGCGACCAAGAGAAGGAUUAGCAAUGCACAGCCGAAGUAAGUUGUUUACUUAGGAAAGAAUUGCAAAAAAAACAGACAACAUUGAAGGUUAAAUGGUAGUAUACUUGACUUCCAAUUAACUGCUAGUAAUUUCCAACAGCAUAUAAAAGAAGGCAUAUAUAUAUUGGCAGGCAGCUCUUAUGUUCCAAUCAUAAGCUUCAAGGCUCAAAUGUUUAGUAGGCUGCAGGCUACGCUAGUAUUCUGCAGGUUGGAGAAAGAGGCUAUACUACAACAUAUGAGAUGCCAACAAUGCAAGAUUGAAGCCAUGGACACAAACUUUUGCAGCAAUAUUCAAAUAUGGAACCGGCCGGCAGAAUCAAAAUCUAUUGAGUUAUUUAUAAAAGGGCAUGCAGCAGCAAUAGUACAUAC
rnacentral:lncRNA from 1 species